rnacentral:tRNA from 1 species
GGCCCCGUAGCUCAGCCCGGAUAGAGCAGCGCACUCCUAAGGCGAAGGUCGAGGGUUCAAAUCCCUCCGGGGCCG